rnacentral:rRNA from 1 species
AGUGAACGCUGGCGGUAGGCCUAACACAUGCAAGUCGAACGGCAGCACAGUAAGAGCUUGCUCUUACGGGUGGCGAGUGGCGGACGGGUGAGGAAUACAUCGGAAUCUACUUUUUCUUGGGGGAUAACGUAGGGAAACUUACGCUAAUACCUCAUACGACCUACGGGUUAAAGCAGUGGAUCUUCGGACCUUGCGCGAUUGAAUUAGCCGAUGUCGCAUUAGCUAGUUGGCUGGGUAAAGGCCCACCAAGGCGACGAUCCGUAGCUGGUCUGAGAGGAUGAUCAGCCACACUGGAACUGGGACACGGUCCAGACUCCUACGGGAGGCAGCAGUGGGGAAUAUUGGACAAUGGGCGCAAGCCUGAUCCAGCCAUGCCGCGUGAGUGAAGAAGGCCUUCGGGUUGUAAAGCCCUUUUGUUGGGAAAGAAAAGCAGCAGGUUAAUACCCCGCUGUUCUGACGGUACCCAAAGAAUAAGCACCGGCUAACUUCGUG